rnacentral:rRNA from 1 species
CCCUUAGAUGUUCUGGGCCGCACGCGCGCUACACUGAUGCAUUCAACGAGUCUAAAACCUGCUCUGAUAGGGGUGGGUAAUCUUUUGAAUGUGCAUCGUGAUUGGGAUAGAUGAUUGCAAUCUUUCAUCUUCAACGAGGAAUGCCUAGUAAACGCAAGUCAUCAGCUUGCAUUGAUUACGUCCCUGCCCUUUGUACACACCGCCCGUCGCUCCUACCGAUUGAAUGAUCCGAUGAAUAUCAUGGAUUGAGGAUUAUAGCAGGUUCGCCUGUCUUGAUCUUCGAGAAGUGAAGUAAAUCUUAUCAUUUAGAGGAAGGAGAAGUCGUAACA